UGAGAUGCACUAGAAAUGCAAUCCUUUAGUAAACACAAAUGAGAAAUAAAAGGGGAGAGACCCGUAAACAUCACAAAAUAACUGUAGAGAUCACAUUCACAAAGACAUAAUUACUGUACUUCACAAGAAAGAAACAAGGGAACACACACUCUUGUGUCUUUCUAAUACUCAUCGCCUUCUUCGUCGUCGUCCUCCGCUCCUUCUCCACCAACUUCCUCAUAAUCUUUCUCGAGGGCAGCAAGAUCCUCACGAGCCUCAGAGAACUCUCCUUCUUCCAUACCCUCUCCUACAUACCAAUGGACAAAGGCUCUUUUGGAGUACAUGAGAUCAAACUUAUGGUCUAUACGUGAGAACACUUCAGCAACUGCAGUAUUAUUGCUGAUCAUGCAAACCGCUCGUUGAACCUUAGCCAGGUCACCACCUGGAACAACGGAAGGCGGCUGGUAGUUUAUCCCGCACUUGAAUCCAGUUGGGCACC